rnacentral:rRNA from 1 species
UACGGAAGAGGCAAGCGUUGUUCGGAAUCACUGGGCUUAAAGCGCGUGUAGGCGGAGUGUAGGGUGCCUCGUGAAAGCCCUCGGCUCAACCGAGGAACUGCCGGGCAAACCGACACUCUUGAGGCAGGCAGAGGUAACCGGAACCUUUGGUGGAGCGGUGAAAUGCGUAGAGAUCAAAGGGAACGCCGGUGGCGAAAGCGGGUUACUGGGCCUGAACUGACGCUGAGACGCGAAAGCGUGGGUAGCAAACAGGAUUAGAUACCCCCGUA